UAGGGGGGCUGCAGUGGGGAAUAUUGGACAAUGGGCGAAAGCCUGAUCCAGCCAUGCCGCGUGUGUGAAGAAGGCCUUCGGGUUGUAAAGCACUUUCAGUGGGGAAGAAAGCCUUGGGGCUAAUACCCUCGAGGAAGGACAUCACCCACAGAAGAAGCACCGGCUAACUCCGUGCCAGCAGCCGCGGUAAUACGGAGGGUGCGAGCGUUAAUCGGAAUUACUGGGCGUAAAGCGCGCGUAGGCGGUCUGAUAAGCCGGUUGUGAAAGCCCCGGGCUCAACCUGGGAACGGCAUCCGGAACUGUCAGGCUAGAGUGCAGGAGAGGAAGGUAGAAUUCCCGGUGUAGCGGUGAAAUGCGUAGAGAUCGGGAGGAAUACCAGUGGCGAAGGCGGCCUUCUGGACUGACACUGACGCUGAGGUGCGAAAGCGUGGGUAGCAAACAGGAUUAGAUACCCCGGUAGUC
rnacentral:rRNA from 1 species